UACGGAGGGUGCGAGCGUUGUCCGGAAUCACUGGGCGUAAAGGGCGCGUAGGCGGCCUGAUAAGUAGGGGGUGAAAUCCUGCGGCUUAACCGCAGGGCUGCCUUCUAAACUGUCAGGCUGGAGCACAGUAGAGGCUGGUGGAAUUCCCGGUGUAGCGGUGGAAUGCGUAGAGAUCGGGAAGAACAUCAGUGGCGAAGGCGGCCUGCUGGGCUGUUGCUGACGCUGAGGCGCGACAGCGUGGGGAGCAAACAGG
rnacentral:rRNA from 1 species